UACAGAGGGGGCUAGCGUUAUCCAACGUUACUGGGCGUAAAGGGCACGUAGACAACUUAUGUCGGUUUGAUUUGAAAGGUCACUUUAAUGUGAAAGCGAAUUAAACAGCGGUAUGGUUAGAGUUUAUGGGAGGAUGAAGGAAUUUCCAGUGUAGAGGUACAAUUCGUUGAUAUUGGAAGGAAAGUUCAAGGUGAAAACAUUUAUCUACUGUAGACUGACGUUGAGGUGCGAAGGUAUGGGGAUCAAACGGG
rnacentral:rRNA from 1 species